UUGCUCCCUGAUGUUAGCGGCGGACGGGUGAGUAACACGUGGGUAACCUGCCUGUAAGACUGGGAUAACUCCGGGAAACCGGGGCUAAUACCGGAUGGUUGUCUGAACCGCAUGGUUCAGACAUAAAAGGUGGCUUCGGCUACCACUUACAGAUGGACCCGCGGCGCAUUAGCUAGUUGGUGAGGUAACGGCUCACCAAGGCGACGAUGCGUAGCCGACCUGAGAGGGUGAUCGGCCACACUGGGACUGAGACACGGCCCAGACUCCUACGGGAGGCAGCAGUAGGGAAUCUUCCGCAAUGGACGAAAGUCUGACGGAGCAACGCCGCGUGAGUGAUGAAGGUUUUCGGAUCGUAAAGCUCUGUUGUUAGGGAAGAACAAGUGCCGUUCAAAUAGGGCGGCACCUUGACGGUACCUAACCAGAAAGCCACG
rnacentral:rRNA from 1 species